GGCCUAACACAUGCAAGUCGAACGGGAUUAAAGGGCUUGCUUUCCAUGAGAGUGGCGUACGGGUGCGUAACGCGUAUGCAACCUACCUUCAUCAGGGGGAUAGCCCGAAGAAAUUCGGAUUAACACCGCAUAAAAACACAACUUGGCAUCAAGAAAUGUUCAAAUAUUUAUAGGAUGGAGAUGGGCAUGCGUGUCAUUAGCUAGUUGGUAAGGUAACGGCUUACCAAGGCGACGAUGACUAGGGGAUCUGAGAGGAUGACCCCCCACACUGGUACUGAGACACGGACCAGACUCCUACGGGAGGCAGCAGUAAGGAAUAUUGGUCAAUGGAGGCAACUCUGAACCAGCCAUGCCGCGUGCAGGAAGACUGCCCUAUGGGUUGUAAACUGCUUUUAUACGGGAAUAAACCUUGGUUCGUGAACCAAGCUGAACGUACCGUAAGAAUAAGGA
rnacentral:rRNA from 1 species